rnacentral:rRNA from 1 species
ACUCCUACGGGAGGCAGCAGUGGGGAAUUUUGGACAAUGGGCGAAAGCCUGAUCCAGCCAUGCCGCGUGCAGGAUGAAGGCCUUCGGGUUGUAAACUGCUUUUGUACGGAACGAAAAGACUCUGGUUAAUACCUGGGUCCAUGACGGUACCGUAAGAAUAAGCACCGGCUAACUACGUGCCAGCAGCCGCGGUAAUACGUAGGGUGCAAGCGUUAAUCGGAAUUACUGGGCGUAAAGCGUGCGCAGGCGGUUAUAUAAGACAGAUGUGAAAUCCCCGGGGCUCAACCUGGGAACUGCAUUUGUGACUGUAUAGCUAGAGUACGGCAGAGGGGAUGGAAUUCCGCGUGUAGCAGUGAAAUGCGUAGAUAUGCGGAGGAACACCGAUGGCGAAGGCAAUCCCCUGGCCUGUACUGACGCUCAUGCACGAAAGCGUGGGGAGCAAACAGGAUUAGAUACCCUGGUAGACAU